rnacentral:other from 1 species
CAGCACCUGGAGUGCGUGAGCUGCUUCAUUUUUGACCCUACAUGAUAUAAACGGGAGCCUAGAGUCGAUGUGGAAUACAGUCAAACCUUUCAGAGGAAGACUCAAGACCACCGCAGGGCACCCACCUUGCUUUUGGGCGAGGUGUCAAAAAGGAGUGGCCCGCAUUUCGGGUUUUUU